GGCUGCAGAACGUUCCUCUACUGAGGAUACUUGAGCAGGAUAAAUGGAGAGGAACACCUUGACAACCUCAUGGCUGAUCCUGUGGCUUCAUCUUGGCCGAGUGAGCAGCCUCUUGACUGUGGAACAGCGUCCUGCCUCGCUGGGGGUUCAGGAAGGAGAGAGCGCCAAUUUCACCUGCAGUUUCCCUUCCAGCUCUUUCUAUGCCUUACACUGGUACAGAUGGGAACCUGCAAAGGGCCCCAAGAACCUGUUUGUAGUGAGUGUAAAUGGGGAUGAAAAGAAGCGAGGACGAGUGAGAGUCACUCUGAACACUAAGGAGGGCGACAGCUCCAUGUACAUUGGAGGAUCCCAGCCUGAAGACUCAGCCACAUACCUCUGCGCCUCCACACAGUGCCCCUCAGCCCCCUGCAGCCCUCACCCAAACCCGGGCCUGCUGCUGCUCUGGGACCAGCGCUGAGGAAGAGCCACUGUCGGGAGGGAAAGGGAAAUUCAAUGAAUGACAGUGUUUGCAGUAAUCAGGGGGAAAUGCAGACACAGAUAAACAGGCAUUCCAGUCACUGUACCUCCCUCAACCAACUGGACUGUUCCUAAACAUCACUAAUCUCCACUACCACCACUAUACUGGCCAUAUCAUUGAUUCCAAUCCUAGCCUCCUCUUUUCCUGUGAUUCCAAGUAAACUAGACAGUUUUCAAACCUAUCUGAAAUAAUAUGGUUAUACCUGGGUAAUAGUUACCCUUCACUAUUGCUAUAUCCUAAGAGCUAGUCUUUAUGGUAUUUCUUUAUGUGCAUGAAUGUAAUAUGGGGAUACGCUGUGUCACACAUUUGGCAUGAAAGUCUGCAUGUUUUAUACCAGAGCAGUCAAUUCUGUCUCAUUUAACUCAUUGGAGAUUUUGAUUUUGCUUUAGUUCAAACUUCCCACUACAUGGACAUUUGUAUGUCAUUUCUUUACUAUGUGGCUGUUUGCAUUUUAAAAAAUCGCUUUGAUAUCUGGAAGAAGUAUUGAUAGGGGAAAUUCACUACUAAAAUUGGUCUUUCCCCCAGUUUAUAUUGUAACUGUGAUAAUGAAUAAGUAACUGAACUCCAGGAUCUGAGUUUCUUACUUAGUAAUUUCCAGGUAUAUGAAGCUGAUCAAUCAUCUGGUUCUGUGCUCAUUUUGCAGAUUCCCAAAUAGCCCACCAGUUUAAUAUCAUAUUGGGCUUCUCUGAUGGCUCAGACAGUAAAGAAUCUGCCCACAAUGCAGGAGAGCCGUGUUCGAUCCCUGGGUCAGGAAGAUCCUCUGGUGGAGGGAAUGGUUACCCAUUCCAACAUUCUUGCCUGGAUAGUUCUGUGGGCAGAGGAGCCUGGUGGGCUGUGGUCCAUGGGGUCACAAAGAGCUGGACGUGACUGAGUGACUAGCACUCUCACUUAAUGCCGCGUUGGUGCUUUGCUGCUGCUUAGUCACUUCAGGUGUGUGUGACUCUGUGCGACGCUAUGGACUGCAGCCUUCCAGGCUCCUCUGGCACAGGCUGCUAGUUCUGGGGUCUUUCUGGGGUUUGUCAGCAUGAAUUAAUUUGCUUCUGGGCUCUUCAUCUUAUAGCUUGUGUUUUCAGGUUUAUCCCCACCAUACACAUUAGUAAUUAAAAUCCAGCCUCUGUCCAGCCUCCUGAAGUAUGGUGCUAUUGUGCUCGCUCUCUUUCAUAAAUGUAUAUUUUAAAAAAUGUACUACUGUCACUAUGUUUAGGAAAGAUAAUAUAUAUUAUAAAAACCAUACUGGUUUGCAUACAAAUCCCUCAGACCGAAACUAUUUAAGAGACAUUCAUGUGAAAGAUUUCUUUCUCAAAGGUCAUUCACAAGGCAGCAAUGAAUCUAUUUGUCCAUCAGAUUGCAAAGGGUUGAAUCCGUUUUGUGAUAUGAAUGUGCAUAGAACUGGAAGGUAGAGCACAGAAGUGAGUGAGGUGAACCUGUAGUUCAUUGUACAGUAGUGUUGAUGGAAUAAAACAACAUGCCAAAAAAGAGCUGCUGGUCAACUUCCCAAACUGGGUCUUCAACAUGAUUGGCAUAAAGAUCAAUGGAAGAAAUUUCUAAUACUAUCAGUGAAGACCCUGAGUUUUAGCUGACUCUGAGUUGGUAGAAACAAAAAGCACACAGAAAAAGCAAGGACACAAUCUGUCUAUACUGUGUGUUGCUAAAACACAGUGCUUCAUGUAUUUUUCAUACCAAAGAACACAUAGAAAUUGAUUACAUUUGUACAGCCCUUCAAUAUAGAAUGCUGCUUGAAACUGACCUGUGAUUCCACAUUCCCUGGGUUCUUCCUCACCUUAGGAGGACUCCAACAUGAG